ACUUUUUUGGUUCAUGAGUGAGAUACUCGAGUGUCCAUGCCCUUGUGUGACAUUGUGCUUCCUACAAACUUUGCUACAUCAACACAUUAUCCACCUGGCA